AAAAAAAUUAAGAAUUAGUCUCUCCGUCCCAUUCCUUCUCCCUAUCCUUUUCCCUCUCCACCUCCAUCUCCGUCGCUGCAAUUAGACAGACCGACAGCCUCAUUCCGGUGGAAAUCGAAACCAUCGUCAAAGUCAAAUCCUAAAAAAGAGGGCGGUUACAAGGCUGGGCUUAUAUACUGAAGAAUCUGAUUAUAUUCUAGGCUAGCUGCUUUCUUUGGUAAGGGAGUAGAUACUUUAUAUGCCAUGGACAGGGAAUGGAUACGAAAUCCGAAUCGAGUGAGUAGGGAAUAUUUAAAUGGGAUUUCAGAAUUUUUGAAAAGUGCAAGCAAACAUGUCAACGCUGAGGGUUAUACUAAGUGCCCAUGCCAGAAUUGUAACAACUGUAGAUUGAAGUCAUUGAGAGAAAUUCAGCAAGA